GACGAACGCUGGCGGCGUGCUUAACACAUGCAAGUCGAACGAAGUGGCGAACGGGUGAGUAACGCGUAAUCAACCUGCCCUUCAGAGGGGGACAACAGUUGGAAACGCAUGCUAAUACCGCAUACUGAAGGAGGGGAUUGCGUCUGAUUAGCUAGUUGGAGGGGUAACGGCCCACCAAGGGGAUGAUCAGUGGCCGGUCUGAGAGGAUGGACGGCCACAUGGGGACUGAGACACGGCCCAGACUCCUACGGGAGGCAGCAGUGGGGAAUCUUCCGCAAUGGACGAAAGUCUGACGGAGCAACGCCGCGUGAGUGAUGACGGCCUUCGGGUUGUAAAACUCUGUUAAGCGGGACGCGGUACCGGAAUAGAAAGCCACGGCUAACUACGUGCCAGCAGCCGCGGUAAUUC
rnacentral:rRNA from 1 species